GAUUAAGUUAUUAAGGGCGCACGGUGGAUGCCUUGGCACUAGAAGCCGAUGAAGGACGUUACUAACGACGAUAUGCUUUGGGGAGCUGUAAGUAAGCUUUGAUCCAGAGAUUUCCGAAUGGGGAAACCCAGCAUGAGUUAUGUCAUGUUAUCGAUAUGUGAAUACAUAGCAUAUCAGAAGGCACACCCGGAGAACUGAAACAUCUUAGUACCCGGAGGAAGAGAAAGAAAAUUCGAUUCCCUUAGUAGCGGCGAGCGAAACGGGAAGAGCCCAAACCAACAAGCUUGCUUGUUGGGGUUGUAGGACACUCUAUACGGAGUUACAAAGGACGACAUUAGACGAAUCAUCUGGAAAGAUGAAUCAAAGAAGGUAAUAAUCCUGUAGUCGAAAAUGUUGUCUCUCUUGAGUGGAUCCUGAGUACGACGGAGCACGUGAAAUUCCGUCGGAAUCUGGGAGGACCAUCUCCUAAGGCUAAAUACUCUCUAGUGACCGAUAGUGAACCAGUACCGUGAGGGAAAGGUGAAAAGCACCCCGGAAGGGGAGUGAAAUAGAACCUGAAACCGUGUGCUUACAAGUAGUCAGAGCCCGUUAAUGGGUGAUGGCGUGCCUUUUGUAGAAUGAACCGGCGAGUUACGAUUUGAUGCAAGGUUAAGCAGUAAAUGUGGAGCCGUAGCGAAAGCGAGUCUGAAUAGGGCGUUUAGUAUUUGGUCGUAGACCCGAAACCAGGUGAUCUACCCUUGGUCAGGUUGAAGUUCAGGUAACACUGAAUGGAGGACCGAACCGACUUACGUUGAAAAGUGAGCGGAUGAACUGAGGGUAGCGGAGAAAUUCCAAUCGAACCUGGAGAUAGCUGGUUCUCUCCGAAAUAGCUUUAGGGCUAGCCUCAAGUGAUGAUUAUUGGAGGUAGAGCACUGUUUGGACGAGGGGCCCCUCUCGGGUUACCGAAUUCAGACAAACUCCGAAUGCCAAUUAAUUUAACUUGGGAGUCAGAACAUGGGUGAUAAGGUCCGUGUUCGAAAGGGAAACAGCCCAGACCACCAGCUAAGGUCCCAAAAUAUAUGUUAAGUGGAAAAGGAUGUGGCGUUGCCCAGACAACUAGGAUGUUGGCUUAGAAGCAGCCAUCAUUUAAAGAGUGCGUAAUAGCUCACUAGUCGAGUGACACUGCGCCGAAAAUGUACCGGGGCUAAACAUAUUACCGAAGCUGUGGAUUGUCCUUUGGACAAUGGUAGGAGAGCGUUCUAAGGGCGUUGAAGCAUGAUUGUAAGGACAUGUGGAGCGCUUAGAAGUGAGAAUGCCGGUGUGAGUAGCGAAAGACGGGUGAGAAUCCCGUCCACCGAUUGACUAAGGUUUCCAGAGGAAGGCUCGUCCGCUCUGGGUUAGUCGGGUCCUAAGCUGAGGCCGACAGGCGUAGGCGAUGGAUAACAGGUUGAUAUUCCUGUACCACCUAUAAUCGUUUUAAUCGAUGGGGGGACGCAGUAGGAUAGGCGAAGCGUGCGAUUGGAUUGCACGUCUAAGCAGUAAGGCUGAGUAUUAGGCAAAUCCGGUACUCGUUAAGGCUGAGCUGUGAUGGGGAGAAGACAUUGUGUCUUCGAGUCGUUGAUUUCACACUGCCGAGAAAAGCCUCUAGAUAGAAAAUAGGUGCCCGUACCGCAAACCGACACAGGUAGUCAAGAUGAGAAUUCUAAGGUGAGCGAGCGAACUCUCGUUAAGGAACUCGGCAAAAUGACCCCGUAACUUCGGGAGAAGGGGUGCUCUUUAGGGUUAACGCCCAGAAGAGCCGCAGUGAAUAGGCCCAAGCGACUGUUUAUCAAAAACACAGGUCUCUGCUAAACCGUAAGGUGAUGUAUAGGGGCUGACGCCUGCCCGGUGCUGGAAGGUUAAGAGGAGUGGUUAGCUUCUGCGAAGCUACGAAUCGAAGCCCCAGUAAACGGCGGCCGUAACUAUAACGGUCCUAAGGUAGCGAAAUUCCUUGUCGGGUAAGUUCCGACCCGCACGAAAGGCGUAACGAUUUGGGCACUGUCUCAACGAGAGACUCGGUGAAAUCAUAGUACCUGUGAAGAUGCAGGUUACCCGCGACAGGACGGAAAGACCCCGUGGAGCUUUACUGUAGCCUGAUAUUGAAAUUCGGCACAGCUUGUACAGGAUAGGUAGGAGCCUUUGAAACGUGAGCGCUAGCUUACGUGGAGGCGCUGGUGGGAUACUACCCUAGCUGUGUUGGCUUUCUAACCCGCACCACUUAUCGUGGUGGGAGACAGUGUCAGGCGGGCAGUUUGACUGGGGCGGUCGCCUCCUAAAAGGUAACGGAGGCGCUCAAAGGUUCCCUCAGAAUGGUUGGAAAUCAUUCAUAGAGUGUAAAGGCAUAAGGGAGCUUGACUGCGAGACCUACAAGUCGAGCAGGGUCGAAAGACGGACUUAGUGAUCCGGUGGUUCCGCAUGGAAGGGCCAUCGCUCAACGGAUAAAAGCUACCCCGGGGAUAACAGGCUUAUCUCCCCCAAGAGUUCACAUCGACGGGGAGGUUUGGCACCUCGAUGUCGGCUCAUCGCAUCCUGGGGCUGUAGUCGGUCCCAAGGGUUGGGCUGUUCGCCCAUUAAAGCGGUACGCGAGCUGGGUUCAGAACGUCGUGAGACAGUUCGGUCCCUAUCCGUCGUGGGCGUAGGAAAUUUGAGAGGAGCUGUCCUUAGUACGAGAGGACCGGGAUGGACAUACCUCUGGUGUACCAGUUGUCGUGCCAACGGCAUAGCUGGGUAGCUAUGUGUGGACGGGAUAAGUGCUGAAAGCAUCUAAGCAUGAAGCCCCCCUCAAGAUGAGAUUUCCCAACUUCGGUUAUAAGAUCCCUCAAAGAUGAUGAGGUUAAUAGGUUCGAGGUGGAAGCAUGGUGACAUGUGGAGCUGACGAAUACUAAUCGAUCGAAGACUUAAUCAA
rnacentral:rRNA from 1 species